AGAGUUUGAUCAUGGCUCAGGACGAACGCUGGCGGCGUGCUUAACACAUGCAAGUCGAACGGUGAUGACAGGGCUUGCCUUGUCUGAUCAGUGGCGAACGGGUGAGUAACACGUGAGUAACCUGCCCCAGACUCUGGGAUAACCCCGGGAAACCGGAGCUAAUACCGGAUAUGACCCUCGUACGCAUGUGCAGGGGGUGGAAAGUUUUUCGGUCUGGGAUGGGCUCGCGGCCUAUCAGCUUGUUGGUGAGGUAGUGGCUCACCAAGGCGACGACGGGUAGCCGGCCUGAGAGGGCGACCGGCCACACUGGGACUGAGACACGGCCCAGACUCCUACGGGAGGCAGCAGUGGGGAAUAUUGCACAAUGGGCGAAAGCCUGAUGCAGCGACGCCGCGUGAGGGAUGACGGCCUUCGGGUUGUAAACCUCUUUCAGCAGGGAAGAAGCGCAAGUGACGGUACCUGCAGAAGAAGCACCGGCUAACUACGUGCCAGCCGCCGCGGUAAUAC
rnacentral:rRNA from 1 species